rnacentral:rRNA from 1 species
GAUGAACGCUGGCGGCGUGCCUAAUACAUGCAAGUCGAGCGAACAGACGAGGAGCUUGCUCCUCUGACGUUAGCGGCGGACGGGUGAGUAACACGUGGAUAACCUACCUAUAAGACUGGGAUAACUUCGGGAAACCGGAGCUAAUACCGGAUAAUAUAUAGAACCGCAUGGUUCAAUAGUGAAAGACGGUUUUGCUGUCACUUAUAGAUGGAUCCGCGCCGCAUUAGCUAGUUGGUAAGGUAACGGCUUACCAAGGCAACGAUGCGUAGCCGACCUGAGAGGGUGAUCGGCCACACUGGAACUGAGACACGGUCCAGACUCCUACGGGAGGCAGCAGUAGGGAAUCUUCCGCAAUGGGCGAAAGCCUGACGGAGCAACGCCGCGUGAGUGAUGAAGGUCUUCGGAUCGUAAAACUCUGUUAGUAGGGAAGAACAAAUGUGUAAGUAACUAUGCACGUCUUGACGGUACCUAAUCAGAAAGCCACGGCUAACUACGUG